rnacentral:rRNA from 1 species
AUGAGCACCUUAUGCUGGAACUGUCGAGGGCUUGGGAACCCUCAGACAGUUCGAGAGCUUCGCAAGAUAGUGAAGCAGGAAGGUCCCGCCCUUCUGUUCGUUAUGAAAACAAAAAUCAAGGGCAAGAGAGUGGAGGAUUUGAAAUUCUCCUUAGGUUUUUCGGGGUGUUUUGCUGUCGAUAGUGACAGCCUUAGUGGCGGCAUUGGCCUUUUUUGGUCAAAGGAUGUGGAUGUCAAAUUGGAAAAUUUCAGCCGUUCACACAUUGAUGUUUCUGUCAAACAGGAAAAUAAAACUUGGCGUUUUACUGGUUUCUAUGGAGAGCCCAGGGUGGAGAAUCGUCACCACAGCUGGCGCUUCCUACGUACUUUGUAUGCUGUCCCGCGCGAUGCAUGGAUCUGCAUGGGAGACUUUAACGAAACUCUGCAUGCGGACGAGCAUUACAGUGUUAAUCCAGGACCGGAAUACCAGAUGAGGGCGUUUCGAGAGGUGGUGUCAGACUGCUCCCUCCAGGAUCUGGGGUGGAGAGGAGUCCCAUACACAUGGGAUAACAGGCAAGUGGGCUUGGCGAACGUGAAGGCGCGUAUCGAUCGAGCUCUCUCUAAUGACCGAUUCCCAAACAUCUUUUAG